rnacentral:rRNA from 1 species
AGCAGCCGCGGUAAUUCCAGCUCCAAUAGCGUAUAUUAAAGUUGUUGCAGUUAAAAAGCUCGUAGUUGAAUUUCGGGGUUAGUAGAUUGGUCAUGCCUCUGGUAUGUACUGGUCUCACUGAUUCCUCCUUCCUGAUGAUCCGUAAUGCCAUUAAUUUGGUGUUGCGGGGAAUUUGGACUGUUACUUUGAAAAAAUUAGAGUGUUUAAAGCAAGCUAACGCUUGAAUACAUUAGCAUGGAAUAAUGAAAUAGGACGUUCGAUCCUAUUUUGUUGGUUUCUAGGAUUGACGUAAUGAUUAAUAGGGAUAGUUGGGGGCAUUAGUAUUCAAUUGUCAGAGGUGAAAUUCUUGGAUUUAUUGAAGACUAACUACUGCGAAAGCAUUUGCCAAGGGUGUUUUCAUUAAUCAAGAACGAAAGUUAGGGGAUCGAAGACGAUCAGAUACCGUCGUAGUCUUAACCAUAAACUAUGCCGACUAGGGGUCGGAUGAUGUUAAUUUUUUAAUGACUCA